UGCUCCACCCUGUGGCAGGCACUAAAGAGAGCUGGGCAAACUCCAGGAGGCGGGUCUGGAGGCUGGUGUCUGAACCUGCUGGCAGGCUGGAGCCUCCCUUCCGUUUCUGGGGGGCUUAUACAGGCUUGGCCUCCCUCCUGGGACACGUAGUUCUCAUUCCCCCCCAGGGUAUCAAAUUUGCCUUGACUCUAAGUGACUACUCUCACCUUCAGGAUCAGAGAGUAACUGCUGGGGACCCCUUUGUGUAGGCUCCUAGUCAGGUUAACUGUACAAGCGGCAGAAGGGGACAUAAGAUAGAAUCCAUUCCCUGCCUAAGCCUGGUGGGCCCAAUCUAGCCCGGACCCUGUCUACCUGUUUGUCCACAGUGUCUGUCUGUGGAGACUGCCUUGGCUCUAGGCAAACCUGAUAAGCCACAGCUUGCCCCAGAAUCAGUCCUGGAGUCCAGAUACAUUACUUACCUCAGUGCCGCCGCUGCCCUCUACCUCAACGACCCAGAGAAAACAUGCAAGGACAUCCGAGCUGGCCUCUUGGCCUCUCAUGUGGACGAUUACCUGGCCAAACUGGAGAGUCCAGAGGCCAUGACCCUGGGUCUGAGC
rnacentral:lncRNA from 1 species